UUGGAGUUCCUACAACCAUAACUCACGGCAAAGAGCGAAACCACGCGUCCUAUGCAUCUCACGUCCUCCGAUUGAUCCCAAUUUUCUCCUGCCGUUUACAUGGGUUUGAUCUCAAGCUCUCUCUCCGCCGAUCGCGUGCCGCCGAUAGCCACUUCUUUCCUCCGCAUAUGGAUCAUUACAAGACGUUAGGGUUGGGAAGGAACGCCACCAAAGGGGAGAUCAAGGAGGCGUUCCGUCGAUCCGCCCUCAAGUUCCACCCUGACAAGCACUCCCAGUCGUCCAAGGAGGUCAGGGAGGGAGCGUCCCUCAUGUUCAAGCAGGCUUCCGAGGCCUACGAGGUCUUGAUCGAUGACCGCAAGCGGGCGGACUACGAUCGGGUGUGGCGGGGCGGAUACUCCGAUCGCUGGAGCAGAGGAGCUUCUUCUUCUUCUUCUUCUUAUUCGUACUCUUCACAGUACCAUGAGGGCCGCCAAUAUAGUUACCGCAGACCACCGGCGAGAGAUGGCGUGUUCGGGUUGGAUUUAGAGUCGGUUUUUCGGCUCCUGACGAGGCGCUCUUUUCUCGUGAAUAUGGCUUUUGCGAGUGUCUUGCUAGGUGCAGCAGUAGUUGUUGAGAGAAGUUCUGAAACUAUGUGGAAAAUGAACAAUUCUGGGAAAUCGUUUGAAGAAGCAAUGGAGUCGAUCGAACAAAAUAAGGUCAAUAAGGAGAAGAGUUGAUACACUCUGCUAAUAACAAGUCAAAGUCUCAUAAAAGUGCACAGAUUCUUGGAUAGACUUGUAUAUCUGAUUCCACCGGCAAGGAAGGGUGAAUCUUGGAAACUAGCCGGCUGUAUCUCUUGCACGAUGAACUCGCCGGAAUGCUACGCCAUACUGGAUAGAACACUAAGACUUAAGUCAUCAAAUAUGGAUGGGUGGGAUCGAACUCCUUACAAUCUAUUAAGCUACUCGAUCGAAUAGGAUAAAUACAUUGGAGUUUCAAGAACAUUUUAAAUAAUUGUGUUUUGAUGGCACAAGAUGCUUCUCAUUCCGUGGCUAAGUAUGUCAGACCAAAGCAAACAUUCUCUACUUAAAAAGGGUGACUUGAUUUCACUUUGUAACGUAGUAAUACCACUUUACUUUUCUUUCGAAAAAAAAUAUAUAUUUUAUGUGGUCCUUUAUUUUU